rnacentral:sRNA from 1 species
GGAUGUGGUAGCAAUUUGGCUGUGACAUGUGAUACUCCGUUGAUCAAUAGAGUUGAUUCAUUUGAUAUGACUGGAAGGAGGUUGUCCACUUCCACCUCUCCUUAACUUCUUGACUCUUAUUUCCCUGAUUUACUUUUUAGUCUUAAGACAAAAGAGAAUAAUCUACUCAGAAGAGACCCGUGGUUCAGUCGAGAGUAUAUGAAAG